rnacentral:rRNA from 1 species
ACGGGGGGGGCAAGCGUUGUUCGGAAUUACUGGGCGUAAAGGGCUUGUAGGUGGCCAACUAAGUCAUACGUGAAAUCCCUCAGCUUAACUGGGGAACUGCGUCUGAUACUGGAUGGCUUGAGUUUGGGAGAGGGAUGCGGAAUUCCAGGUGUAGCGGUGAAAUGCGUAGAUAUCUGGAGGAACACCGGUGGCGAAGGCGGCAUCCUGGACCAAUACUGACACUGAGGAGCGAAAGCCAGGGGAGCAAACGGGA